UAAGCCGUUGAAGGUGUGUCGUGAGGCAUGCUGGAGGUAUCAGAAGUGCGAAUGCUGACAUAAGUAACGAUAAAGCGGGUGAAAAGCCCGCUCGCCGGAAGACCAAGGGUUCCUGUCCAACGUUAAUCGGGGCAGGGUGAGUCGACCCCUAAGGCGAGGCCGAAAGGCGUAGUCGAUGGGAAACGGGUUAAUAUUCCCGUACUUGGUGUUACUGCGAAGGGGGGACGGAGAAGGCUAUGUUGGCCGGGCGACGGUUGUCCCGGUUUAAGCGUGUAGGUGUGUGUUCCAGGUAAAUCCGGUUCACUUUAACACUGAGGCGUGACGACGAGGCACUACGGUGCUGAAGCAACAAAUGCCCUGCUUCCAGGAAAAGCCUCUAAGCCUCAGGUAACAUCAAAUCGUACCCCAAACCGACACAGGUGGUCAGGUAGAGAAUACCAAGGCGCUUGAGAGAACUCGGGUGAAGGAACUAGGCAAAAUGGUGCCGUAACUUCGGGAGAAGGCACGCUGACACGUAGGUGAAGUGGUUUACCCAUGGAGCUGAAGUCAGUCGAAGAUACCAGCUGGCUGCAACUGUUUAUUAAAAACACAGCACUGUGCAAACACGAAAGUGGACGUAUACGGUGUGACGCCUGCCCGGUGCCGGAAGGUUAAUUGAUGGGGUCAGCGCAAGCGAAGCUCCUGAUCGAAGCCCCGGUAAACGGCGGCCGUAACUAUAACGGUCCUAAGGUAGCGAAAUUCCUUGUCGGGUAAGUUCCGACCUGCACGAAUGGCGUAAUGAUGGCCAGGCUGUCUCCACCCGGGACUCAGUGAAAUUGAACUCGCUGUGAAGAUGCAGUGUACCCGCGGCAAGACGGAAAGACCCCGUGAACCUUUACUAUAGCUUGACACUGAACACUGGUCCUUGAUGUGCAGGAUAGGUGGGAGGCUUUGAAGUGUGGACGCCAGUCUGCAUGGAGCCAUCCUUGAAAUACCACCCUUUAAUGGCUGGUGUUCUAACGUGGACCCGUAAUCCGGGUUGCGGACAGUGUCUGGUGGGUAGUUUGACUGGGGCGGUCUCCUCCUAAAGAGUAACGGAGGAGCACGAAGGUUGGCUAAUCCUGGUCGGACAUCAGGAGGUUAGUGCAAUGGCAUAAGCCAGCUUGACUGCGAGCGUGACGGCGCGAGCAGGUGCGAAAGCAGGUCAUAGUGAUCCGGUGGUUCUGAAUGGAAGGGCCAUCGCUCAACGGAUAAAAGGUACUCCGGGGAUAACAGGCUGAUACCGCCCAAGAGUUCAUAUCGACGGCGGUGUUUGGCACCUCGAUGUCGGCUCAUCACAUCCUGGGGCUGAAGUAGGUCCCAAGGGUAUGGCUGUUCGCCAUUUAAAGUGGUACGCGAGCUGGGUUUAGAACGUCGUGAGACAGUUCGGUCCCUAUCUGCCGUGGGCGCUGGAAGAUUGAGGGGGGCUGCUCCUAGUACGAGAGGACCGGAGUGGACGCAUCACUGGUGUUCGGGUUGUCAUGCCAAUGGCACUGCCCGGUAGCUACAUGCGGAAGAGAUAAGUGCUGAAAGCAUCUAAGCACGAAACUUGCCCCGAGAUGAAUCUUCCCUGAGCCUUUAAGGCUCCUGAAGGAACGUUGAAGACGACGACGUUGAUAGGCCGGGUGUGUAAGCGCAGCGAUGCGUUGAGCUAACCGGUACUAAUGAACCGUGAGGCUUAACCUUACAACGCCGAAG
rnacentral:rRNA from 1 species